AAAGCGUUGGCCGAAAAGCUUUGACAGAGUAGGCA
rnacentral:ncRNA from 1 species